rnacentral:rRNA from 1 species
GGGUUGUGAGGUUAAGCGACUAAGCGUACACGGUGGAUGCCCUGGCAGUCAGAGGCGAUGAAGGACGUGCUAAUCUGCGAUAAGCGUCGGUAAGGUGAUAUGAACCGUUAUAACCGGCGAUUUCCGAAUGGGGAAACCCAGUGUGUUUCGACACACUAUCAUUAACUGAAUCCAUAGGUUAAUGAGGCGAACCGGGGGAACUGAAACAUCUAAGUACCCCGAGGAAAAGAAAUCAACCGAGAUUCCCCCAGUAGCGGCGAGCGAACGGGGAGCAGCCCAGAGCCUGAAUCAGUGUGUGUGUUAGUGGAAGCGUCUGGAAAGGCGCGCGAUACAGGGUGACAGCCCCGUACACAAAAAUGCACAUGCUGUGAGCUCGAUGAGUAGGGCGGGACACGUGGUAUCCUGUCUGAAUAUGGGGGGACCAUCCUCCAAGGCUAAAUACUCCUGACUGACCGAUAGUGAACCAGUACCGUGAGGGAAAGGCGAAAAGAACCCCGGCGAGGGGAGUGAAAAAGAACCUGAAACCGUGUACGUACAAGCAGUGGGAGCACGCUUAGGCGUGUGACUGCGUACCUUUUGUAUAAUGGGUCAGCGACUUAUAUUCUGUAGCAAGGUUAACCGAAUAGGGGAGCCGAAGGGAAACCGAGUCUUAACUGGGCGUUAAGUUGCAGGGUAUAGACCCGAAACCCGGUGAUCUAGCCAUGGGCAGGUUGAAGGUUGGGUAACACUAACUGGAGGACCGAACUGACUAAUGUUGAAAAAUUAGCGGAUGACUUGUGGCUGGGGGUGAAAGGCCAAUCAAACCGGGAGAUAGCUGGUUCUCCCCGAAAGCUAUUUAGGUAGCGCCUCGUGAAUUCAUCUCCGGGGGUAGAGCACUGUUUCGGCAAGGGGGUCAUCCCGACUUACCAACCCGAUGCAAACUGCGAAUACCGGAGAAUGUUAUCACGGGAGACACACGGCGGGUGCUAACGUCCGUCGUGAAGAGGGAAACAACCCAGACCGCCAGCUAAGGUCCCAAAGUCAUGGUUAAGUGGGAAACGAUGUGGGAAGGCCCAGACAGCCAGGAUGUUGGCUUAGAAGCAGCCAUCAUUUAAAGAAAGCGUAAUAGCUCACUGGUCGAGUCGGCCUGCGCGGAAGAUGUAACGGGGCUAAACCAUGCACCGAAGCUGCGGCAGCGACGCUUAUGCGUUGUUGGGUAGGGGAGCGUUCUGUAAGCCUGUGAAGGUGUACUGUGAGGUAUGCUGGAGGUAUCAGAAGUGCGAAUGCUGACAUAAGUAACGAUAAAGCGGGUGAAAAGCCCGCUCGCCGGAAGACCAAGGGUUCCUGUCCAACGUUAAUCGGGGCAGGGUGAGUCGAUCCCUAAGGCGAGGCCGAAAGGCGUAGUCGAUGGGAAACAGGUUAAUAUUCCUGUACUUGGUGUUACUGCGAAGGGGGGACGGAGAAGGCUAUGUUGGCCGGGCGACGGUUGUCCCGGUUUAAGCGUGUAGGCUGGUUUUCCAGGCAAAUCCGGAAAAUCAAGGCUGAGGCGUGAUGACGAGGCACUACGGUGCUGAAGCAACAAAUGCCCUGCUUCCAGGAAAAGCCUCUAAGCAUCAGGUAACAUCAAAUCGUACCCCAAACCGACACAGGUGGUCAGGUAGAGAAUACCAAGGCGCUUGAGAGAACUCGGGUGAAGGAACUAGGCAAAAUGGUGCCGUAACUUCGGGAGAAGGCACGCUGAUAUGUAGGUGAAGCGACUUGCUCGUGGAGCUGAAAUCAGUCGAAGAUACCAGCUGGCUGCAACUGUUUAUUAAAAACACAGCACUGUGCAAACACGAAAGUGGACGUAUACGGUGUGACGCCUGCCCGGUGCCGGAAGGUUAAUUGAUGGGGUUAGCGCAAGCGAAGCUCUUGAUCGAAGCCCCGGUAAACGGCGGCCGUAACUAUAACGGUCCUAAGGUAGCGAAAUUCCUUGUCGGGUAAGUUCCGACCUGCACGAAUGGCGUAAUGAUGGCCAGGCUGUCUCCACCCGAGACUCAGUGAAAUUGAACUCGCUGUGAAGAUGCAGUGUACCCGCGGCAAGACGGAAAGACCCCGUGAACCUUUACUAUAGCUUGACACUGAACAUUGAGCCUUGAUGUGUAGGAUAGGUGGGAGGCUUUGAAGUGUGGACGCCAGUCUGCAUGGAGCCGACCUUGAAAUACCACCCUUUAAUGUUUGAUGUUCUAACGUUGACCCGUAAUCCGGGUUGCGGACAGUGUCUGGUGGGUAGUUUGACUGGGGCGGUCUCCUCCUAAAGAGUAACGGAGGAGCACGAAGGUUGGCUAAUCCUGGUCGGACAUCAGGAGGUUAGUGCAAUGGCAUAAGCCAGCUUGACUGCGAGCGUGACGGCGCGAGCAGGUGCGAAAGCAGGUCAUAGUGAUCCGGUGGUUCUGAAUGGAAGGGCCAUCGCUCAACGGAUAAAAGGUACUCCGGGGAUAACAGGCUGAUACCGCCCAAGAGUUCAUAUCGACGGCGGUGUUUGGCACCUCGAUGUCGGCUCAUCACAUCCUGGGGCUGAAGUAGGUCCCAAGGGUAUGGCUGUUCGCCAUUUAAAGUGGUACGCGAGCUGGGUUUAGAACGUCGUGAGACAGUUCGGUCCCUAUCUGCCGUGGGCGCUGGAGAACUGAGGGGGGCUGCUCCUAGUACGAGAGGACCGGAGUGGACGCAUCACUGGUGUUCGGGUUGUCAUGCCAAUGGCACUGCCCGGUAGCUAAAUGCGGAAGAGAUAAGUGCUGAAAGCAUCUAAGCACGAAACUUGCCCCGAGAUGAGUUCUCCCUGACCCUUUAAGGGUCCUGAAGGAACGUUGAAGACGACGACGUUGAUAGGCCGGGUGUGUAAGCGCAGCGAUGCGUUGAGCUAACCGGUACUAAUGAACCGUGAGGCUUAACCUUACAACGCCGAAG